rnacentral:snRNA from 1 species
AGAUGUGAGGGCCAUCUAGCUGUGACGGCUGUCACCCCAUCGAUCGUCAGGAUUGAUUCAGCUAAUCUGGCUGGCUAUGCGGGUGCCCGCACCACUCCACUCAGUGUGAGUCCCUCCCAAAGCUCCAAUACAGCCUGGGGCCUGUACAGAAUAGUUAAAAGGGUAGCUGCUGUAAGUCAGGGUUG